rnacentral:rRNA from 1 species
GGCCAGACUCCUACGGGAGGCAGCAGUGAGGAAUAUUGGUCAAUGGGCGAGAGCCUGAACCAGCCAAGUCGCGUGAGGGAUGACUGCCCUAUGGGUUGUAAACCUCUUUUGUAUGGGGGGAAUAAGCUUUACGAGUAGAGUGAUGACAGUACCAUACGAAUAAGCAUCGGCUAACUCCGUGCCAGCAGCCGCGGUAAUACGUAGGGAGCAAGCGUUGUCCGGAAUUACUGGGCGUAAAGGGCGCGUAGGUGGGCGCUUAAGUCAGGUGUGAAAACUCCGGGCUCAACCUGGAGACUGCACUUGAAACUGGGUGUCUUGAGGGCAGGAGAGGAAAGUGGAAUUCCUAGUGUAGCGGUGAAAUGCGUAGAUAUUAGGAGGAACACCAGUGGCGAAGGCGACUUUCUGGACUGUACCUGACGCUGAGGCGCGAAAGCGUGGGUAGCGAACGGGAUUAGAUACCCUAGUAU